rnacentral:rRNA from 1 species
AUUGAACGCUGGCGGCAUGCUUUACACAUGCAAGUCGAACGGCAGCGCGGUUCAGCCUGGCGGCGAGUGGCGCACGGGUGAGUCAUACAUCGGCACGUCCCCCGAAGUGGGGGAUAACGUCGCGAGGGGUACUCUAAUACCGCAUACGCUCUGCGGAAGAACGUGUGGGACCUUCGGGCCUCACGCGUUUGGUGCGGCCGAUGUCUGAGUAGCUAGUUGGGGAGGUAAAGGAUCACCAAGGCGACGAGCAGUAGCUGGUCUGAGAGGACGACCAGCAACAGGGGGGCUGAGACGCGGCCCAGGCCCGGACGUGAGGCAGCAGCGGGGAACUUUGGGCAAUGAGCGGAAGCCUGAACCAGCAAAGGCGCGUGAGUGAGGAAGGCCUUCGGGGCGUAAAGCACGAAUGUCAGGGAAGAAACGGCUGAGGAUAAUACAGACGGCUAAGGACGGAACCUGAAGAAUAAGCACCGGCUAACUCCUU